ensembl:snoRNA small nucleolar RNA SNORA40
AUGGCACAUGUGUUUUCUGUCCAAGUGAUAGACAAAGGCAGGAAACAGAGAUGCAAAAUUAAUCCUCUUUUAUAACCCAGAACUCAUUGUUCAAUAUGAGUUUUGAUAUAUAUAAGGACUACG